AUGGCAGCCACUGCAGGCUCAGGAAUAAAAGUGCCUUGAAAUCUCUGACUGUUGCAAGAACUCAAAGAAGACCAGAAAGGAAGAAGUGAUGGCACAGUUAGCUUGGGGUCUAGAAGAUAAUGAGGAUAUAAUACAAGAUGGACAAGGAUAAUCAUUGGGCCUCCAAGUACAAUUUAUAAAAACCGAAUAUACAACCUUAAAAUGGAAUGUGAACCUAAAUCCCCAGAAGCACCCCCAGUUUGUAAGAUUUGUAACAAAAUCAAUAUGAAUAUAAUAGUGCUAAUAGAAUAGUGGGCCCAAGAGCCACAUAUCAGUGCUAGCAAAGUGGUAGAAUUCAUAUUGCAUUAGAGUUGUUCUGUAAGAGCUUUGGUGCCUAAUGAUAUCUAAAGAAAAUAUGAAACUCUCUCAGUCACCUGAACGACAAUAUUACAGAAAUU
rnacentral:lncRNA from 1 species